GAGAAAGCGGAGGAAGAUGAAGAGGAGGAAGGAAAAAGACCUUCGACAAACAGCUGCUAAUGGUGAAGCACAGGGAUUCGGAAAGCACUGACUCCAGGCAUUGUGUGCUGCUGUUUACUUGACAAGCCAGUGCAGACACUGCUUCCUCUUCAGCUCUCUUCUGUUUUGCAGUCGGGAACACGCAACACUCUGCCAGCUUUGCUGCAUUCGCCUUUUCCUCAUCCUGUGUUUAACCUAUCGGGAUGUACAGCUUUUCUCCAGUCUUAAUUCCAAGAGAACAAAGCUCAAAAGUGUCUAAAAUUAGAAGUGUAAGCAAUCGUUGCUACAGAAAUAG
ensembl:lncRNA